rnacentral:rRNA from 1 species
UAUACCGUGAAACUGCGAAUGGCUCAUUAAAUCAGUUAUCGUUUAUUUGAUAGUACCUUACUACUUGGACAACCGUGGUAAUUCUAGAGCUAAUACAUGCUGACAACCUCGACUUACGAAGAGGUGUAUUUAUUAGAUAAAAAACCAACGCCUUUCGGGGCUUCUUGGUGAUUCAUAAUAACUUUACGGAUCGCAUGGCCUUGCGCCGGGCGACGGUUCAUUCAAAUUUCUGCCCUAUCAACUUUCGAUGGUAAGGUAUUGGCUUACCAUGGUUUCAACGGGUAACGGGGAAUUAGGGUUCGAUUCCGGAGAGGGAGCCCGAGAAACGGCUACCACAUCCAAGGAAGGCAGCAGGCGCGCAAAUUACCCAAUCCCGAUACGGGGAGGUAGUGACAAUAAAUACUGAUACAGGGCUCUUUUGGGUCUUGUAAUUGGAAUGAGUACAAUUUAAACCUCUUAACGAGGAACAAUUGGAGGGCAAGUCUGGUGCCAGCAGCCGCGGUAAUUCCAGCUCCAAUAGCGUAUAUUAAAGUUGUUGCAGUUAAAAAGCUCGUAGUUGAACCUUGGGUCUGGCUGGCAGGUCCGCCUCACCGCGUGUACUUGUCCGGCCGGGCCUUCCUUCUGGAGAACCUCAUGCCCUUCACUGGGCGUGUUGGGGACCAGGACUUUUACUUUGAAAAAAUUAGAGUGUUCAAAGCAGGCCUUUGCUCGAAUACGUUAGCAUGGAAUAAUAGAAUAGGACGUGCGGUCCUAUUUUGUUGGUUUCUAGGACCGCCGUAAUGAUUAAUAGGGACAGUCGGGGGCAUCAGUAUUCAAUUGUCAGAGGUGAAAUUCUUGGAUUUAUUGAAGACUAACUACUGCGAAAGCAUUUGCCAAGGAUGUUUUCAUUAAUCAGUGAACGAAAGUUAGGGGAUCGAAGACGAUCAGAUACCGUCGUAGUCUUAACCGUAAACUAUGCCGACUAGGGAUCGGGCGAUGUUAUUUUUCUGACUCGCUCGGCACCUUACGAGAAAUCAAAGUUUUUGGG